UACGGGGGGGGUAAGCGUUGUUCGGAAUUACUGGGCGUAAAGGGCUCGUAGGCGGCCAACUAAGUCAGACGUGAAAUCCCUCAGCUUAACUGGGGAACUGCGUCUGAUACUGGAUGGCUUGGAUUCGGGAGAGGAAUGCGGAAUUCCAGGUGUAGCGGUGAAAUGCGUAGAUAUCUGGAGGAACACCGGUGGCGAAGGCGGCAUUCUGGACGGCAACUGACGCUGAGGCACGAAAGCGUGGGGAGCAAGCAGG
rnacentral:rRNA from 1 species